AUCAUUAUCAUGUUUUAAAUUAUGUCCUCUCUUCUGAUCUCAGUUUGCAGCUCAGUGGGUUUUAAGGAUUGUUGGGACUCCUCUAAUCGGUGGUGUGAGGCCUGUGGAGCAGCUAAUGGAACAUCACGACUAUGCUGACUUCCCCAGGGUCUUACGGUCAUUUCUGUUUCACCAGCAGAUCUGGGUGGCAGCAGAGAGCUGCAGCGCUCCCGAGUGCUGUAACGACUGCACGGAGAGAUGUGCGGAUCUUCACGGGAACAGCAAGGAACCGAAAGCUGCAUUUCCUGGGAUGCCCUGGAACUCCACUUUGCUGACUGGUAAUUGUCUGCCCAGCAGGUAAGGACAAUGCACACCCACCAGUGUUUACCCCUUACUGAGUGAGACACAAGGUAGGGUUCCCAGAGCUCCUUUCUGCACUUCAGGGUUCCCCGAAGGCUGCCCGUCCUAUUCUUUGCACGUUCUCCUUGGCUCUGGCCUUUCACGGCGGUGUUCUCCUUCCCUUUGCCCUUGGCGUUCCCUACUGCAUUCUCUUGUCCUCUUGUUUUUGCAUUCCAUGUCAUGUUCUCUUGGCCAUUGCCCUUGACUUUCUUGGCCACAUUCACUUCAACAUUCAGUUUUGGCGUUCCCUGCAGUGCUCUCUUGCCCUUCUGUUUUGGCGUUUCUUGUCGUGUUCUCUUGGCCAUUUCCUUGGCAUUUCCUUCCACAUUCUCUUGGCCCUUACCUAGGCAUUCCCUUGCCCUCCUGUUUUUGCGUUCCAUGCCACAUUCUCUUGGCUAUUGAACUUCUUUUUCUUCUGCCACGUUCUCUUCAGCAUUCAGUUUUGGCGUUCCCUGCAGUGUUCUCUUGCCCUCCUGUUUGGGCAUUUCCUGCGGCGUUCUCUUUGGCAUCAUGUUCUGGUGUUCCCAGCCACCUUCUCUCAGCCUUCUGCCUUGGCCUUCUUUGCCGUGUUCUCUUUGGCCUCCUGUUUUGGCACUUCCUGCCACGUUCUCUUAGCCCUUGCCCUGACCUGAGCAUUCCAUGCCAUGUUCCCUCGGCCUUCUGUUUUGGCAUUUUUUGCUGUGUUCUCUUGGCCUUUGCCCUUGGUUUUUCCUGCUGCUGUCUCCUUGCCCUCACCUUGGCUUUCCGUUGGGUGCUCUCCUUGCUUUUGCCCUUCCCUUCGCCUUGGCUGUUUGCUUUGCCUUUACCUUGGCUUUCGGUGGGAGUUCAGCUUGCCUUUUUUCUUUGGCUCUCUGGGAUUGGCUGGGAGGCAGCGUGAAUGUUAAUCUUGACCUGAACCUGUAGCUUAAUGUGAGCUCUAAUGAUAAUUAUGUUAACCCACAGUGUAUAUGUAAACCUAACUAUUAACCCAAUAUUAAAAAUGUCUCUUAACCUAAAUGCUGCAAUAAAAAUAAUGCUGCUUGUUUUCUGUCACAGUACCCUUAAUCCUAAUC
ensembl:lncRNA